AAUGAACGUUGGCGGCGUGGAUUAGGCAUGCAAGUCGAGCGCGAUGAGUUUGGUAGCUUGCUAUUGAACUCGGAAAGCGGCGAAAGGGAGAGUAACGCGUAGUUACGUGCCCCAGGGUUCGGAAUAGCCACGGGAAACUGUGGGUAAUGCCGAAUAACAUCUCCGGAUCAAAGGUGUGAUUCCGCCCUGGGAGCGGACUGCGUCCUACUAGCUAGUUGGCGGGGUAAUGGCCCACCAAGGCAACAAUGGGUAGCGGGUGUGAGAGCAUGACCCGUCUCACUGGGACUGAGACACUGCCCAGACACCUACGGGUGGCUGCAGUCGAGAAUCUUCGGCAAUGGUCGAAAGCCUGACCGAGCGACGCCGCGUGCGGGAUGAAGGCCCUCGGGUUGUAAACCGCUGUCGUAGGGGAGGAAGGCUCUGUGAAGAACAGGGUUUGACCUAUCCUAGGAGGAAGUACGGGCUAAGUUCGUGCCAGCCGCCGCUGUAAAAC
rnacentral:rRNA from 1 species